AUGGCAAAGGUACACCCGAACGUCGCCGCGCCAGAGCUGCUGGCUGGAGGCAGAGCCGUCGUCGAGGAGCAGCAGCCCACGGUGCUGACGGUGUGGCGCAAGUCUCUGCUCUUCAACUGCGACGGCUUCACCGUCUUCGACUCCGCCGGCGGCCUCGCCUUCCGCGUCGACCGCUAUGGCUCGUCGUCGGGGAUCCGGCGCCGCGCCGAGGACGUCGUGCUCAUGGACGCCGCGGGGAAGCCGCUCCUCACAGUGCGGCGCAAGAUCAAGCUGAGCCUGGGCCUGGGGGAGCACUGGGUGGUGUACGACGGCGAGGCGACCGCCUCAACCGCCAAGCCGCUCCUCUCCGUGCGCCGCCAUCACGCCGGCCUCCGCCGCCGCGCGUCCGACAAGACGCUCGCGCACGUCACGCCGCUGGGGCCCUCUUCGGCCGGCGCUGACGCGGCCGCCUACGUCGUGGAGGGGUCGUACGGGCGGCGGAGCUGCGCGGUGCGGGACGUGCGCGGGGGUGCCUCCGUGGCGGAGGUGCAGCGGAAGGAGUCGGUGGGGGACGACGUGUUCCGGCUGGUGGUGCCUGAUCAUCGCCUGGGAACGGCGCUGUCCAUGGGCGUCGUCAUCGCCCUCGACCAGAUGUUCGGCGCCGCCUCGUCGCGGACGUCGCUGCUGAACAGGAGCUGGUCGGCGUAG
rnacentral:rRNA from 1 species